rnacentral:lncRNA from 1 species
AUUUAGUACCUCCCCGGAGUGUUGUCGAGGGCAAUUGGAGAAAAUCAUAGUCUUAUCCAACCUUGCCCUUCCCCCAACACAUACACCCUUUUAGUGGGGGAAUCAAAUGAAAGUGAACAUCUUGGACAGCUUUAAAAAGAGAACAAAAUUCACUAAAGGAGCCUAGUUUCCCCAACAAACUUUGGACCCUGGGGUAAUCUGAAGGCUCUCCUGGCGAUGACAAACCCCCAUUGACUGGCUCUCUCCCGGGCACUCUCCCACACUGCUACCAGGCUGGAGAGCCGGGGCUGAAGGGGGUGGCGGCUGGGGUUCGGAGAGAAGGACAAGGAAGGAUUAGGAAGUGGUUGGUUUCUCUGAAAGAUUGAGCUCCUCUAAUGAGCUCCCUCCUCCCACCCCGCCUGUUGUGGCUCCCCAGCUCAGUCUUGCUCGCUGUGGGUUGAGGGAAAGGGCCCCAUUUCCAUCCCCUUCAAGGGCUCUCCCAGGACGGAGCUCAGUGAGGCCACUUGGGCACCCCAGGCCGCCCUGGCCUACCAGCUGGCAUCCAGUCCCCUUGGCCCUGAGCCUUGGACGCCUGCAUCCCUUUAUCCCUGAAGGGCAAGAGGAAAGAAGGGUUUGCCAUAUCACGGGGGACCUGAGGCCCCGAGAAGCCUCGUGUCCCCAGUGUCUCGCGGGCCUGGAGCCGGCCCUGGAUUCUCUCCCGAACAGAACCGGCUCUCCUCUCCCGCCUUCCCAUUCUCCGGGGGUUCCCCAUCGCCGCAGGGCUGCCUCUCGCGAAGCCUGAGCUGCUCAGAGAACCUCCGUGUGUGUGUUCUGUCCUGUGGCCCGUGUCCGUGCGCCCCUGUUUCCCGUGGAGACGCGCAGGGCGCCCACCUCUCUGGGCGGGCAGUCAGAGCGCUCUCCCUUCCCAAGGAAGCCCUUCUAUUCGGAGUCUGAGGCGGAGACGGUCUCCGCUGGCGCUGCUGGACCUGCCUCCCAGCAACCAGAACCCGGGCCUCUGGAGCGUCCGUUCUUGCCCGAGUGUGCUGAGGGCCUAGAAAGGCAGCAGGGGAGCAGGGCCCAAAAGCGUGGCACGCAGGGAGUUCAGUUGCAAAGGAAAUGCAUGCUGUCAGUGACCAUGUGGCA